CUUGUGCUACCGACCAUUGAUAUGUUCAGGAGACCCUGAGGCCCAGCAGAGUUGAUGGUCUGACUUAACUCUCCAGAGAAGUGCGCAAAUCCUGGCCUGUUUCCUGAGCAUUUUCUGAAACGGCGAGAGAGGAUGUUAAAGGCUUUUGAACCACAUUUGGGUAUGCAGGAUAUCAGCUCCUUUUAGAAGCUGGCGUUCCAGAUCAUCUCCUGAAAGUGCAGCAGAACUGGGA